GUAUGCGUUAACUCAAUUGGUAGAGUGCUACACUGUUAAUGUAGUUGGAGCGGUUCACUCCUAAAAAGAAUCAAAAAAUCAGAAAGCGAAUUGCCUUUUCCUGCGUCUA
rnacentral:tRNA from 1 species